UAAUACGGAGGAUGCGAGCGUUAUCCGGAUUUAUUGGGUUUAAAGGGUGCGUAGGCUGUUAUAUAAGUCAGUGGUGAAAUAUUCGGGCUCAACCGGGAUACUGCCAUUGAUACUGUAUAGCUGGAAUAUGGUUGCUGUGGGUGGAAUGUGUGGUGUAGCGGUGAAAUGCAUAGAUAUCACACAGAAUAUCGAUUGCGAAGGCAACUCACAAAGCCAUUAUUGACGCUGAUGCACGAAAGUGUGGGGAUCAAACAGGAUUAGAUACCCUGGUAGUCCACACUGUAAACGAUGAUAACUAGCUGUCGGCGAUAGAUAGUCGGUGGCUAAGCGAAAGCGAUAAGUUAUCCACCUGGGGAGUACGACCGCAAGGUUGAAACUCAAAGGAAUUGACGGGGGCCCGCACAAGCGGAGGAACAUGUGGUUUAAUUCGAUGAUACGCGAGGAACCUUACCCGGGCUCGAACGGUGCAGGAAUAUGGUAGAGAUAUCAUAGCUAGCAAUAGUCUGUAUCGAGGUGCUGCAUGGUUGUCGUCAGCUCGUGCCGUGAGGUGUCGGCUUAAGUGCCAUAACGAGCGCAACCCUUGUCGUUAGUUACCAUCAAGUAAAGUUGGGGACUCUAGCGAGACUGCCACCGUAAGGUGUGAGGAAGGGGGGGAUGACGUCAAAUCAGCACGGCCCUUACGUCCGGGGCGACACACGUGUUACAAUGGUAGGUACAGAGGGGCGCUAUCCAGUGAUGGAGUGCGAAUCUCAAAAACCUAUCUCAGUUCGGAUUGNAGUCUGCAACUCGACUCCAUGAAGUUGGAUUCGCUAGUAAUCGCGCAUCAGCCAUGGCGCGGUGAAUACGUUUCCCGGGNCUUGUACACACCGCCCGUCAAGCCAUGGAAGCCCGGGGGUGCCU
rnacentral:rRNA from 1 species